AUAAGCCCCAGGGUAAGGAGACAGAAAGGCAACACUGCAUCAGAAAACAUUUGGAUUAUAUUUUAUCGACGUCAUACUAACAGCACCCGCAAAAUGAAAGACAGGAGACAGAGGUUCCUUUGCUGGCUUUGAAGAAGUAAGCUGCCAUGUUAUAAAAGGGCUGUAGCACAAGGAACUGCCUCCAGGCAACAGAAAAGAAGAAAAGAAGAUGAAU
rnacentral:lncRNA from 10 species